rnacentral:rRNA from 1 species
GCAAGUCUGGUGCCAGCAGCCGCGGUAAUUCCAGCUCCAAUAGCGUAUAUUAAAGUUGUUGCAGUUAAAAAGCUCGUAGUUGAACCUUGGGUCUGGCUGGCCGGUCCGCCUCACCGCGUGUACUGGUCCGGCCGGACCUUUCCUUCUGGGGAAUCGCAUGCCCUUCACUGGGUGUGUCGAGGAUCCAGGACUUUUACUUUGAAAAAAUUAGAGUGUUCAAAGCAGGCCUAUGCUCGAAUACAUUAGCAUGGAAUAAUAGAAUAGGACGUGUGGUUCUAUUUUGUUGGUUUCUAGGACCGCCGUAAUGAUUAAUAGGGAUAGUCGGGGGCAUCAAUAUUCAAUUGUCAGAGGUGAAAUUCUUGGAUUUAUUGAAGACUAACUACUGCGAAAGCAUUUGCCAA